rnacentral:rRNA from 1 species
AACGAACGCUGGCGGCAGGCCUAACACAUGCAAGUCGAGCGCGCCCUUCGGGGUGAGCGGCGGACGGGUGAGUAACGCGUGGGAACGUGCCCUUUUCUACGGAAUAGCCUCGGGAAACGGAGAGUAAUACCGUAUACGCCCUUUGGGGGAAAGAUUUAUCGGAAAAGGAGCGGCCCGCGUUGGAUUAGGUAGUUGGUGGGGUAAUGGCCUACCAAGCCGACGAUCCAUAGCUGGUAUGAGAGGAUGAUCAGCCACACUGGGACUGAGACACGGCGCAGACUCUUACGGGAGGAAGCAGUGGGGAAUCUUAGACAAUGGGGGCAACCCUGAUCUAGCCAUGCCGCGUGAGUGAUGAAGGCCUUAGGGUUGUAAAGCUCUUUCAGCUGGGAAGAUAAUGACGGUACCAGCAGAAGAAGCCCCGGCUAACUACGUG